CGCGUAGGCUGUUGAGUAAGUCAAAUGUGAAAUCCCCGGGCUUAACCUGGGAACUGCAUUCGAUACUGCUUAACUAGAGUAUGGUAGAGGGAAGUGGAAUUCCGGGUGUAGCGGUGAAAUGCGUAGAUAUCCGGAGGAACACCAGUGGCGAAGGCGGCUUCCUGGGCCAAUACUGACGCUGAGGUGCGAAAGCGUGGGGAGCAAACA
rnacentral:rRNA from 1 species